rnacentral:rRNA from 1 species
GACGGGGGAUGCAAGUGUUAUCCGGAAUCACUGGGCGUAAAGCGUCUGUAGGUGGUCCAAUAAGUCAACUGUUAAAUCUUGGGGCUCAACCUCAAAAUCGCAGUCGAAACUAUUAGACUAGAGUAUAGUAGGGGUAAAGGGAAUUUCCAGUGGAGCGGUGAAAUGCGUAGAUAUUGGAAAGAACACCGAUGGCGAAAGCACUUUACUGGGCUAUUACUAACACUCAGAGACGAAAGCUAGGGCAGCAAAUGGG